rnacentral:rRNA from 1 species
GAUGAACGCUGGCGGCGUGCCUAAUACAUGCAAGUCGAGCGAACGGACGAGAAGCUUGCUUCUCUGAUGUUAGCGGCGGACGGGCGAGUAACACGUGGAUAACCUACCUAUAAGACUGGGAUAACUUCGGGAAACCGGAGCUAAUACCGGAUGAUAUUUUGAACCGCAUGGUUCAAAAGUGAAAGACGGUCUUGCUGUCACUUAUAGAUGGAUCCGCGCUGCAUUAGCUAGUUGGUAAGGUAACGGCUUACCAAGGCAACGAUGCAUAGCCGACCUGAGAGGGUGAUCGGCCACACUGGAACUGAGACACGGUCCGGACUCCUACGGGAGGCAGCAGUAGGGAAUCUUCCGCAAUGGGCGAAAGCCUGACGGAGCAACGCCGCGUGAGUGAUGAAGGUCUUCGGAUCGUAAAACUCUGUUAUUAGGGAAGAACAUAUGUGUAAGUAACUGUGCACAUCUUGACGGUACCUAAUCAGAAAGCCACGGCUAACUACGUG